AUGUGCUGCUUUCCAGCUGGUAGCAGCAACUGUUCUGCUGCAGUCCGCCAAAAGGAAAAGAUGGUCUACAAAAUCCACUCCCAUGCCCAAAUCCAAGCCCUGCAGGCCCGCUCCGAUGAGCUGGGCCACUCCAAUGAGCACAUGCUUGUGAAGCUUGUCUCUCUGGAGUCGGUGCGCAUAGCGUGCGAGUCGUAUGAACUCCUCUGCCCGCUGAUGAUGGAGUCGUCCUGGAAAUGCCCGGAGCUGGAAAUCCUCUCGGUCGUGGCAGGCUUGUCGCUGGAAAUCCAAAAGCUCGAGCAUCAUCUGUUACCCCAGCUCAUGGUUCAGGAGGCCAAGCUGGAACGGGGCGCCCUGGAAGCCAUCCUACUCGUGAAGAACUCAGCAAUUAAGCUCUUACAUCUGAAUAAGUGCUUUAAGGAAGCCUUGGGCAUAUCUCGUUUCGAGGAGGAUCCGGUCACAAAUCAUGUCGAUCUGCUGAGCAUAUUGCUAAAGGAUAUGGCUGUUCCUGUACUUGAAAAUAAUUGCGGCGGUGACUGGCUAAAGCCGCGUGUCCCGAUGCUGGUCCAGCAGGUCACCCAUGUGUUGGAGAUCCCGGUUCGUUUCUGUUAUUCUGAUGAGUAG
rnacentral:rRNA from 1 species